UACGGGGGGGGCAAGCGUUGUUCGGAAUUACUGGGCGUAAAGGGCUCGUAGGCGGCCAACUAAGUCAGACGUGAAAUCCCUCGGCUUAUCCGGGGAACUGCGUCUGAUACUGGAUGGCUUGAGUUUGGGAGAGGGAUGCGGAAUUCCAGGUGUAGCGGUGAAAUGCGUAGAUAUCUGGAGGAACACCGGUGGCGAAGGCGGCAUCCUGGACCAACACUGACGCUGAGGAGCGAAAGCCAGGGGAGCAAACGGG
rnacentral:rRNA from 1 species